rnacentral:misc_RNA from 1 species
AUCUGAUGCUGGUUCAGAGUGCUCUAAUAAGAGUAAGGAGAGCAGCAUUGAGUCAGAGGAGGAUAUUGAAAACCAGCCAGAAGAAGAAGAUGAUGGUGACGAUGAUAAUGACAAUGAGGAAGAGGAAGGAGAAGUACAGGGAGGUAAAGAGGAUGAGAGUAAAUCUGCAAUCAAAUGGACAGAGGAUGAUCAAAAGAAUCUCAUGGAUUUGGGGACUUCAGAG